GUACCCUUUACUGCCAAAACAUAUUAGUACUCUUCUUCUCUAACCAAACGUCGGCUUCCCUCUUCUCUCUCUCUCUACUGUAUUCUUCCCCAAUUGCAGCUACUAAUGACACGAAGUUCCAAAUUCACCUCCCUCUCUCUCGAUUUUCUCUCAGAAAACGAAAACUCCCAAUUAACGAGAAAGCCCCAAAACAGAAACCGUCGACUCUCCGAUUCACUCCACGCCGCCAGCCGCCGCCGCUGUCGCGUACCCACCGUCGCCGUCGCUGCUCCAGCCGCCCCAGCUCGCCGCCGCCGUCGUCGACUGAUGCCGCGCCUGCCCGGCGGCCCCCGACUAGCCCCUAUUUGCCCCGGAACUAACCCGUUCAGCCCCGCAAGACCCCCAAACAACUCCGAAAGAUUACGGAGGAGGAAUAUUUUUUCACGGAGCAGGAAAAUCUACGUAAAAUCUUUAAUUAAGAUUUGUAUUAAAGAUAUUUUAUUUUAAUUAAUUUAGUUUAAUUCGCAGCCCAUUGCAUAUUAUUUUAAA